AGCUCGGCGGGGCCUGGAGAGCAGCGUUCCCCGCGGCCCAUUGUCUCCACAAACCUUUAUUGACAAAACCUUCGCUUUUGCAGCUUUUCCCUCUCCCUGCGAAUCACCGUCCUCCUCCUCCUCCAAGUCCCAACCACCACCCUCACCGGCUCUUGUGGCUUUAGCUGAAAAUGGUGUUUAGGGUGAGGGUUUUGGCCUCGUGGGUGAGUCACUCAGCUCUUCCGGUCUCUAUUCACCUUGAUUCGUUUUGUCCUGUUAAUCGGUCCCCUGCCGGUGUAAUCACAGCCCAGCUGCUCCAAGGGGAGAGGACAGUUUCGAGAAGCCUUUUGUGUUGCCAAUACUCUGCCUCUGGGGCAUCCUGGUCACCUGUGGAGGUGUUUCCUGGUUGGCUUUUUUUUUUCUUCCUUUUUUACAGCCACAGCCACAGCCACAACGGAUCACCAUCUGGGACCUUCACCAUCUGGGACCUACACCGCAGCUUGCAGCAAUGCUAGAUCCUCAACCCACUGAGUGAGGCCAGGGAUUGAACCCGCAACCUCCUGGAGACAAUGCUGGGGACUUAGCCUGCUGAGCCACAGCCGGAGCUCCCAUCUCCUGGUAAUAAAGAAGAAAGGAGAACAGCCAGAACGAAGGCGCCCCAGCCCUUGUGAGCCAAGCAGGUGAGUAAAACUACAACACAGAUCUGUCCUCAAAACCGCUCAGCGGGAACUCGCCCUGCUGCGUGUGGCUGACUCUUUCAUCACAUGCGCUCGCAUUUCCUGAGUUUUAAAAGUUAGCAUUGGAGUUCCCACUGUGGCAUUGUGGAAACGGAUCUGACUAGGAACCAUGAGGUUUUGGGUUCGAUCCCUGGCCUCGCUCCGUGGGUUAAGGAGCCUGUGUUGCUGUGGGCUGUGGUGUAGGUGUUGGGGACGUGGCUCGGAUCAUCAGUGUUGGGAAAUGAGACACGUGAACACGGGGAGAUCUUGACAAGGCUCCUGACUUCUGCAGCAGGGCGCGGGGGCUCAAAAAGUGCGCGCAAAGGCCCUCCCUGUUCAUCCCUAACGCAGGGCAUGCACCUGUCCCCUUCCCGCAGGUGAGGUCAGAGCACACAUUCUUCCCCAUGGGCUAAUUUGAAACAAACUUGCCAGAAGAGGUAAUGAGGAGGGGGUUGCAGGAGGGCGUUUCAGCCGAAACCAGAGCAAGAUGGAGUCACCAAGGUUUCCUCUGAUAGAAAAGAUGUGACGUUACUUCUCACGUGGGUCACGGACGUGGCUCGGAUCUGGUGUUGCUGUGGCUGUGGUGUGGGGCCCUAUUCGACCUGCAGCCUGGGAACCUCCAUAGGCUGAGGGUGCGGCCCUAAAAAGCAAAAACAAACACAGAAGUUAGCAUACAUUAACGACGCACUGAAAAACACCAUUUCAAGCCUGAAGCAGGGCUGUCAUAUGGUGGAUUGGGUUUUUUGGACCAGUCCUUCCAUUUGAAACAACCUAAAAGUUACCCAUGCUGGAUAAAUGUUGAAGGUUCUUUUAAAGGCAUCGGAAAACUAACAAGACGUUAACGAAUCACAAGGCAGGACCCUAAUGGGAAGUACAAACAAAAAACCUGGGUAGAAGUUGGGUCCUGAGAUGGCUUGUGCUUCUGGGCACAAGCUAGUGGUGCCACGUAUCAUGUCAUCUGAAGGCCUCAAAGGGCAGGGAGAAAGAUCAGCUAGUGCCAGGCUGCCCCGAGGGGACCCAGGAGGGAAGUCCCUGCAGGUGAAGCCAAGAUGCCGAGAGCUGUGCCUGGAGGAUGCGGGUGCAGCAGAAAUAUAUCUGCUGCCCAGAACCCCUGGAUCAACCCCGAAGUCCCCCCAGCGCCCACCGAGCAGUGGGGAGGCCGGGGGGGGGGGGNAGGGGAAUCCUUUAGAAGCUCUAACCACGUCCUCGCUUUUCCCUGGAGGUGCAGCCUCAAUCUGCAUUACCUGGGUGAGAACGCUGAACCCUAACCACAUGAUACAGGGCCCCCAGAACUGUGUCCCUUUGGAGAAAGAAUUCGGCCAAGAGGCUGAGUGUAGUGAGGCAAAUAGGUGUUCAUUUAGAGAGAAGACAGGCGUGGGAAGACACAGGCACAGGCAGGCUGGGGAGGCGGGCGUGUGGUGAGGGAGAAGAAAGCCAGAGACAGAGCAAGAGAGAGAGAGGGCACUGCGUGCUUUGGAGGUGGUUUAAAUCACUUGUGUGGGGCAGUCCUUCCGGGCCUCCUCUGGCCUGUCACCUUGCCCUGCCCGGCUUUGGCCUGACUCAGGGCCCUGCCUGCACAUCCUGCAGCCGGGACGGGAUGGAUUCUAGCACCAGGGUCUCGGGGAAGUUGACAGGAAGUCCUCUGGUCAAUGUCCUCCUUCCUCUGACCCCGAGGGACCUUUCUGCGAGUGUAUAGUUCCAGAGGUCUCCUCAACCUCAGCAAUCAGAAACAGCGGGUCUCUCUCUUUUAUCCAAGCAAGAUGCAGGUUUUAUCUUGAGGUUCUCUGUCCAGGGAACAGAUUCCAGUUGCUUAGCCUGGGACCCAUCUGUCUCCUGCUUUGGGUUGUCUGAAAAAACUUAAACACCGCUAAUCCGGGCUCAGGGUGUCCUAAACACGCAGUGCCCGCGGUUAAGCAGAGGCCAUUCCCAUGGGGAGGAAGACGCUCCUGGUAAAAUCUUUCAAAGGUUCUUACAAGCAGGUGAUUGAGGCUGUGAGGCGGUGCCACUGCAGCACAAACUGAUAAGGACGCGUACUCUGUUUAGGGACAAGCCUGACGGCAUCUGCAGGGAACUGAAAACUAGACACGUGGCCCAGCAGAUGGGAAAAAGAAAUCAUUUCCUGGAGGCCCAGUGGUUAAGGACCUGGUGGUGUCACUGCUGUGGCACAGGUUCUAUUCUUGACCGGGGAACUUCCCCAUGCCACAGGUGUGGAAGAAAAAAAAAAAGGAAGAAAGAGAAAAAUACACAUAACUUUGGGAGUUCCUGUUGUGGCUCAGCAUUAAGGAACCCGACUAGCAUCCAUAAGGACUCGGGUUUGAUCCCUGGCCUCGCUCAGUGGGUUAAGGAUCCAGCAUUGCCGUAAGCUGUGGCCGGAGACGCGGCUCAGAUCCUGCAUUGCUGUUGGCUGUGGUGGAGGCCGGCAGCUGCAGCUCUGAUUCAACCCUUAGCCUGGGAACCUCCAUAUGCUGCAGGUGCGGCCCUAUAGAGAUUUUAAAAAAAGAAAAA
rnacentral:lncRNA from 1 species